ensembl:lncRNA
AUAUAUAUAUAUAUAUAUAUAUAUAUAUAGUUAUGUAUACAAAAGACUUUGUGAAACAUUUACAUUAGUCCACCAGUCUUGGGUCACAUACGUUCUAUGUGAAUCUACAAGAAGCACAACUCAGUACUCAGUGACAACCCACUCAACAGUCAUUGCUAUCCCACUAGUAGUAUUGAUUGAUUCAUUGAUUGAUUCAUUGAUUGAUUGCUUGGUCAAGGAAGAUUUGUGUGAGAUGUGAAAAACAGUGGUGUCCACGAGUAAGCUUGGAAAGGUUUUAAAAAAAAUCUAAUCAAAUGGAGUGAGGACUGAAAAAUAUGUUUAGGAAUGUACUGGGAGAAAAUGUUUCAUCUCAGCAUGUCACUGUAAUACUGCCCAGCUGUGGUAAACAUAAACCAAGCAAAAGCAUGCCACAAUACACACUGCCAUACCAAACAUUACCCCUACUUGUUCCCCAUGGAUUUCACUGUAUAUAUAAUACUACUUAGCUUAUGUAAUGUAUUAUUCCUCUCAACAGCAGAAUGUAUGAAAGAUAGAAACUACUGAGCUAUAUCAGGGAUAGAGUUGUGACAUGCUGUCUAAUACAGUUGUUUUCUUGGACAAGGUUGCCGUCUAGUGGUGAAAAUAAGUACUGCAGGUAAACGCCUGAACAGCCAUGUUUACUAUGUCUACAGGGGGAAGAACACCGCCAAUAAAUCUGAGCUUUGAUAUGUUUUUUGUGUCAGUGUCACAAGGGCACUUUGGUCUGUAUUGGUCACUUUUUUUAACAAACAUUUCUUUGCCAAACUGGAUUGUUGCAACAGUUGAUCAAGGUUGGAUGAAAGACUGAAGGUGAUACCUGUUGUAGUUUCUGGGGUCAAUGCUGUGUUCUAUGGUUCAGAUUUAAUAGAGAUUUUUAUUUUUUAUUUUUUACAAGGCUUACUGGGAUGAAAAAGUCCAAGAAAGACCUUGUAGGAGAUUAGAAUCAUGCUCCUCUUCUUGCGUAAUGGAGACAGCCAAGGUUGAACAUCUCAGUGACACAAUAUAUUAAAUCUGAGGAUGAAGCUGUACUCGGUGGUGUUGGUUUGGGGCUGGGGAAUAAAUAAACAUCAUUAUUUAUGUGCUGAGAUUAGAACAGUAUUGUGGGGACUGAGCAAAAUGUUACGUUUUCAUAAACAAAUUUAAGGAAUUAGUGAAAAUUACAGCAAAUAUUGUUUACAGUUAUCUUAACCAAAUAGCCCAGCCCUAUGUAGAUGUAGCUUUAUAUAUGCUAGUGUUUAUUAUUUCCGAUUGCAACACGCCAUAACAGCAGUGUAAGCGGACUGCACUGUGCUCCCCUGGGAUAUUAUUGUAGACUUGUUUGUUUCCACUUAGAACUUGGAGCAAUUUCACUUGUUUUCUAGCACUUUGGCAGGGCGGAGAGAAACAAGACUGGAUGUUUCAGUCAAACUAAUGUGCAACCACAAGUCCGGCUUAGACAAAAUAUAAAGAAGGUAAGAGGGGAGAGGGCUCUCUUUAAAAAUAAAUAAAAAAUUUAAGAAAGCUUUGUAAGAUUACAGCAAAAAUGUAUAAUACUGUAAAUCAGUAUGCAUGUUCUUGUUUAGGUUUUCAUGUCUUUGAAAGACAGGGAAUCCAAUAAUCUUUCUUUGUGGUGGCACAGCCUUGGUCUAAAUGUAGGUAUGUAUGUACUACUGUCACAUACUGUAUUUGACUUUCCAAUUUAUACAGUAAUAGCCAUUUUUCUAGUUUCUACCAGCUAUUAAUCAAAUCAGAGUGCGGAAGAGGGCAUUUUCAUAAAUAUGCAAAUACAAGGUCACGUCACCAACAUCUCUGUUUCACGUCACCUAGGGUAGAGUCUGUAGGCCUCACUGUGGAUGGUUAAACUUUAUAUUGAAUUCAAUAUAUCGUGUGUUUUCUUCACAUUAGGUUUUACUGGAAUGUUCUCACUGCCUCAUUGUCCUUGUAUAAACUGCUGUAUAAUGUAUGCUACACUUAUUCCUGUAAGUCGGUUCGUCUUUGAUAUUGACAUUUGACCAAUGGGCCAUCUCUUCGCCUUUGUCGAUUAGCAUCACAACCCUUUUGAAACCAGCAUAGAGCGCUUUAUCUUAACAAUUCUCCGAUAAUUGUGCCAUUCAGACAUCCUUGCAUGGCUAUGUAAGGGAAACAAGACCUUUUAUCGACACUUUUGAUGUUUACAUUGUUAUACUGUACAUCUGUAUCAGGACAGGAUCAAUUCAUGAUUUUCAUGUUUUUGAAAGUUGCUUUUAAGAUUUGUUUUUACCAAAACAUGUUUUUACCAGUUGUAGAUUGUGUAAAGACAAAUCCUAACACAGAUAUGUAAAACAACCUUGGCAUGCUGCUUAGAAAAGGAGAAAGAAAACAGCAAUAGUUACCAACUGAAUGGAUAUUUAAAAAUGCAAAUAACGAGUUUAAUCUGUUUAAUCUAAAAAAAGAUUUAAAAAAAAAGUUAUAUCCAUAUAUGUUUAUGCAAUAAAAUUUUGUUUUGAUAGAAAAACUAUAGUAACUGUGGUUUAUUUUGAAAGAUGUGCAAGAGAGUUUGAAACAACUUACAAGAAUUAAAGCAGCACAGAACGGUCAAACUUAACAUCAGUUCAAGUGUGAGAACUUCUGUAACAGCAGAAGUUUGGGGCCAGUCAGGAAGA